rnacentral:lncRNA from 1 species
UAGUUUACUAUUCACCUUGAUAGCUUUGUAACUUUGAACUUCUUUCCAAAAGCUCUCAAGCUAUUAAUAAAGCUUUCUCUUUCUCUUUCUAAAACACCUAACUAGUGAGAGAGUAUGGAAACAAGAUUUUCAUCAUUUUCAAGGGUUUUAAAGUGAGAGAGUGGAAGAAUACAAGGGUUCUAGUCAAAAUGGCAACAAGGUAUG